CCUCAGCAGACACAUUCCAGCCAAUCAGCAGCAGACCCUCCCUCCCAGAUCCCCCACCUCCUGGACAGCAUCCAUUUUGAAGCUGCAUUCUUAGUGAGCUGUCCAGGAGGUGGGAGGGUCUGGGAGGGAGGGUCUGCUGCUGAUUGGCUGGAAUGUGUCUGCUG